AGCUUCAUACGUGUCAAAUUUCAAAUGUAUAAUUCAAAUUUGAAUUCAUAAAUACAACAAUUUAGAUCAUUCCAAUUCAAGAAAUAAUAUACGUGUCUUUGGAUAUCAAUCAUCACAUAUAUACAUCAAAUGCCAAAACAUCAUCUAGCUAGCUACAGUUUGCCACAACUAUCCAAUCCUUUGUUUCUAUGUUGCUACAAAACAAAAACAAACUGAGACAUUUUCUUCAUCCAAUCAUCACCAAACACUUGUCAGUUUCUGAAAACAUGUAGAAAAAGUUAGAAACCAUAAUACAUUGGCAAGACUUGCACUUAAUCAUAACGUAUUAAACAAAGGUUGAUCAAUUAAUCCCUAAUCUCUAACAGCUUGAAACCUACUACCUCUGUUCCUAAAUAUAAGUCUUUUCAGAUAUUUCACUACAGACUAGAUACAGAGUAAAAUGAGUGAAUCUACACUCUAAAACAUGUCUAUAUACAUCCGUAUGUAGUCCGUAGUGGAAUCUGUAAAAAGAUUUAGAUUUAAGAAUGGAGAGAGUAUGUCAUAUACGACAAUGGAACUUUGGCGCAAGAUCAGAGAUCCAUGACCAACAAAACAAAAUUGGUCUCCGCCAUUACUGGUUUAACAUGGACAAGUAUGUAUUCGUCCACAAAGACAACUGAGAUACAGUAGCAUAGAGGGAAAAAUGACCAAGUACACGUGCAUGGUGCACCUAGAUAUGAACAAUGGAAUAUGCAAUCAAAAUAGCGAAAGGUGCAGGGAAGCCAGUAGGUGCAACAAAGGGAUAUACAUUCAUGAUGACAAUAAGUGAACUAAUUUUCAAGUAAUAUCCAACCAAACUACAAAGAUAAAUAACAAGGACUGAUAUUGGAAGGAAAACAUAAGCAGCUCAAGUAGUAACAGGUAUGGACAUAUAUCCAUAUAUGAGUACACACAAAAUAUCAUCUACAAAGAUGUAAAUAGCCACACAAACUAUAAAUGAUAAUAGAUCAUGUUAGAAACAACCUAUUCCUGUCAAUCUGUACUUAAAUGACAUGAACACAAUGGAGCAUUUGUUCUUGUAAGAACUGAAGUUUGAUCGCUGGCUCUCUAUUUAGCUGCAAACAAACAAAAAAAUAGUUUCAGGAUGCACCACACAUCACAUAAGCGUGCAUACACAACAACAUGAACAUCACAACAAAUAUACCAUCACCAAUUAUAUCAUUUGAGAUAGUUUCAAGAUACAUACAUGAAGAUAGCUAGGAUUUGCUGGAUGCUGAGCACACAUAGCUGGGUUUCUUGGCUAUUUCCUAGAAUCUGCAAAAGAAGAGCUAGGUUCAAAAAAUUGUUUUUCUCAUGUUUUAAAUGUAUUCAAACUAGUGUUUUUCUGUUUCAGAUGGAUGAUUGCAUACAUGGAUACCAGAUUGUUUUGGAUACCGAGGGGGAUAGUGAACAAGCAGUCGAUGCAGAAUUAUACUCAAGUCAACGAGGAGCUUACCUGCAACGGCAAGGCAAAUGACAAUUGAUUGAUUACUUCUCACACAAGACAGAAGUAAUAAAUAUGUGUCAGCAAUGGAACAUGUCACAUCUUGCUUUGGUUAUAGCAUGUGUAAAACCCUAUGAAAUUCUAAUAGUUUUGGAGAGUAAUAGGAGAAACACAAUAUUUAAGACAAGUGCAUGGGCAUGCGCAUCAGUAUAUAAAAUUGAAAAAUAUGGAUAUCUCCACUAAAAUCCAAAGUUACAGGUUAGAUUUGGAUUAUUAUAUACUUUCUAAGAAUUGGUUUAGAUGCUAAGGAUACCAAUUCCCACAAAUAUCUACUAAAUUUCUACAUUCUAAAUGUGUGAACCUAGUGGGAUAAUAUAAUAUCUUAGCUUGCAGAGGAUCCGAUGCUACUAUCGGAUUUAGCAAAAAUAAAGAUGAUGAAGAGCAGCUUUCAAGUAUUUAGUCUAUAGACCGUAGAACCCUCUGACUGAGCUAAUUAAGCUAAAGGAAAUAAACCAUAGAUAAGAAUACAGAAACAAUUAUGAAGAUAACUGCGCGUAUAUACUAAAUAGCUUCAUCUACAAGAAGCUCGCAGUGCAAGACAAAUACAAAAUUAUCCUUUAACCAGUAACAUUUUCUACUAGCACAGUGACCAACUUAGAUUACAAAAAUACAACUGAACUUUGCAUUAUCUAAUAAGGUAUUAAUAUAUAAUGGAUCUUUUUUUCCAUUCAAAAAUAAAAGGAGCGCUACUACCUGAAGGUUCUAAAAUUGUACUUGCAGAUGUUCUGGGAUCCUAACCUUACUUUCGUAUCCCUUGGAAUGUAUACAGUUCUAAAGAAAAUCACUCAUAUGUCCAAGGUUUGGAAACCAGAAAGUAUUCUUCAGUUAUAACUAUCCCCAAGAAAACAGUGUCAUCAUUAUAUUUAGGAAGUCGACAUGAUGGCAUUAAAUAGAAGAUACUCUACAAACAAACAGAAGUCAUGGGAAUUUUACAACCUUGCACUUAAUGUCCUGAGCUCUACAUGAAAGAAGCGACUACAAAAGGCUAUAAAAUUCUGAAUUUGUAGAGCCAGGGAGCUCUCAAACAGUUCACAGCUAGUAUGUAGCUUAAAACUUCAAAUGAACAUCCCGUGUGUUUGCACUACUUCUAAUUAGUUCCUAUAAAUCCACACUAUCAUCCGAAUCCAACUAUCUAGUUGAACGCCUCAUUUGGCAAAAUAACUAACUCACGCUCAAGGCAAGGCAAUGCACACACCAAUUCUCCGCAAUGGCAACAGCGAUUUGUGCAGAAGUGUAACAUUGUACUGAAUCUGAG
rnacentral:lncRNA from 1 species